GUCUUUUACAAAAUAAUUUUAUUUUUAUUCGCAUUUGCGAAAGGAAACGGUUGCGUCUUUCACUCGAUAAGAAAAUUAAUUAAAAAGCAUUUUGUUUCCUAAAUAUAAUUUUGGAUUUUCAAAAAUGACUACCGACAUCAAUGAGAUUGGAUCACAGAAGAUCAAAAGUGUAACAACUGGUGAGAGUUUGGAGCUCCGAAACUUCUGGCAGGACCAGAACGUGGCCAUCAUCUUCUUCCGGCGCUGGGGCUGUAUGCUGUGCAGACUGUGGGCUAAGGAGCUUGGUGAGAUCGCUCCAGUGCUGAAGAAGAACAAUAUAAAGCUGGUGGGUGUGGGCGUAGAAGAGCUUGGUUCUAAGGAGUUCGUCGAGGGGAAAUUCUUUGAUGGAGACCUUUAUUACGUGGAGAACCAGUCAACUUACCAGACGCUAGGGUUCAAGCGUUUCAACGUUGUGACAAUCAUCACGUCUUUAUUCUGGAAACAGUCAAGAGAUGCCAUCUUCAAGGGGAGAGGAAUGGGACUCGGUGGGGAUCUAAAGGGGGACUGGGUUCAAACCGGCGGCGCUCUGUUGGUGCAAAAAGGCGGGAAUCUGUUACGCCAUUUUGUACAAACUGGACCUGGGGAUCAUCUCUCCAAUUUGGACAUUCUGAAGCACUUCGGACUUGAAAACGAGUAUAAACCAGAGACAAUGGCCAAUAAGAAGCAAGAGGAAUGCACUACAGAAAACAAGGCUUAAAUCCUGGAUGGACUCGCUCAAAACCAGCGCCCUGGGUCCCAUUCACACUAUAUGGACGGAGAGGAGGUGUCUCGCGCGCAAACUCGGUCAUAGAGAUUGAGCCGGCAAUGUAUUGAAAAUAUCACGACCCAGGUAUUAUUAAACCAGUUGUUUUUGUUUGUUUGUACGCAUAAAUCUGUGGUAUUACAUAAAAUUAACAUUUGAAUCACACAAAAAAAACAUUUAAUUACAUAAAAUAUGUGAUAUAAUAAAUUAAAUUAUAUUCUCAAUAAAAUUUAUAAUAAAUGAUAUACUAGUAUAAAAUUGUCUUAAAUCAAACAAUUAUGUCAGAAACAAAAUAAUUAUUUCCUGGGUCGAGUGCGCAUGCGCGUCAACUAUACAAAAACCUAGUAUCUUUUCUUCCCAAUAUCUAUAGUUACUGUCUUCGAACCAUUUCUUAUUCAAUAAUUGAAAUCAAAAUUAUUGUGUAAAAUAUUAAUGUUACAGUUAUAUUGUUGUAAACUCUAUUAUUAAAACUUGUGUUAUUUACAUUUUAACACAAGUUAUUAACGCGAUAAUAAGCAGUUAUUCUCACUAAAAUUAAAUAAUAGAUAUAUUUAACAAAAUAUGCAUAUCUGCUGCAUUAAAGUGCUUAUUAUUUUAGUCGAAUAAAAGUUAUUAUGACAUUCCAUAGUUUUUUAAACAAAACAUAUUUAAAAAAGAAUGUAUCGAAACGUUUUUAUAUAAGGAAUAUAUAUUUAAUUAAAUUUUGAAAUUAAAAGACUGUUGAUGGCAUAAAAAAUAUGUCGAUAUUGUACCUACACUAAAUUCUAUAAAGAGUGUUGAGAAUACCUAACUUAUUCUUUGAAAUUGUCCAAAAUCUAUUAAUAUUUUUAUAUUUAUCGUUGACAUUAUAACGAUACAUUUUUAAAAAAAUGUAAAAAACUUAAAUUUAUUAAUCAAAACUUAAAAAUCAAAACAAAAAAAAAUUAGUUUCUUUUACGAAAAAAUUGAGCCUAGAAACUUGUUUAGAUUUUUUUUUGUGUUUUGUAAAAAAUAUUGAAAUUUGUAGUUUUAUUUGUUGUUAAAACAAAUCUGCAUUUAUUGUAAUCUUUGUUUUGUGUGGGAUGUCUCUCUAUAUGAUUGUAACCAUAUCAUUCUAGUUUUAAUGUUUUGUUUUGUCGCA